rnacentral:rRNA from 1 species
UACGUAGGGGGCAAGCGUUGUCCGGAUUUACUGGGCGUAAAGCGCGUGUAGGCGGCCGAGCAGGUCUGUUGUGAAAACUAGAGGCUUAACCUCUAGACGUCGAUGGAAACUGUUUGGCUAGAGUCCGGAAGAGGAGAAUGGAAUUCCUGGUGUAGCGGUGAAAUGCGCAGAUAUCAGGAAGAACACCCGUGGCUAAGGCGGUUCUCUAGUACGGUACUGACGCUGAGACGCGAAAGCGUGGGGAGCGAACAGG